CCUACGGGCGGCAGCAGUGAGGAAUAUUGGUCAAUGGACGAGAGUCUGAACCAGCCAAGUAGCGUGAAGGAUGACUGCCCUAUGGGUUGUAAACUUCUUUUAUAUGGGAAUAAAAUGUUCCACGUGUGGGAUUUUGUAUGUACCAUAUGAAUAAGGAUCGGCUAACUCCGUGCCAGCAGCCGCGGUAAUACUGAGGAUCCGAGCGUUAUCCGGAUUUAUUGGGUUUAAAGGGAGCGUAGGUGGAUUGUUAAGUCAGUUGUGAAAGUUUGCGGCUCAACCGUAAAAUUGCAGUUGAAACUGGCAGUCUUGAGUACAGUAGAGGUGGGCGGAAUUCGUGGUGUAGCGGUGAAAUGCUUAGAUAUCACGAAGAACUCCGAUUGCGAAGGCAGUUCACUGGACUGCAACUGACACUGAGGCUCGAAAGUGUGGGUAUCAAACAGGAUUAGAUACCCGUGUAGUC
rnacentral:rRNA from 1 species